GAUUAAGUUAUUAAGGGCGCACGGUGGAUGCCUUGGCACUAGAAGCCGAUGAAGGACGUUACUAACGACGAUAUGCUUUGGGGAGCUGUAAGUAAGCUUUGAUCCAGAGAUUUCCGAAUGGGGAAACCCAGCAUGAGUUAUGUCAUGUUAUCGAUAUGUGAAUACAUAGCAUAUUAGAAGGCACACCCGGAGAACUGAAACAUCUUAGUACCCGGAGGAAGAGAAAGAAAAUUCGAUUCCCUUAGUAGCGGCGAGCGAAACGGGAAGAGCCCAAACCAACAAGCUUGCUUGUUGGGGUUGUAGGACACUCUAUACGGAGUUACAAAGGACGACAUUAGACGAAUCAUCUGGAAAGAU
rnacentral:rRNA from 1 species